CUUUGGGAUUUGUCAAAAACAAAAGUAAUUUUAAAACACAGAGUACACCCUGGGACAUCCUUUAUAUACUCAACUGUUACACUUUUUUGUGUAACCCCCCCAUCUGGGUAUAGGUAGUUUCUCUGCCAUUCUCCAGUGUUGCUGUAUCCCUCACAGCUCGGCUAUGUGCAUUAAAUCACGUCGGCGACAUGAACAUGCAAGAGGCAAGCACGGGAUUUGAUUGGUUUAAAAAUGUGGGACCCACACGAUGUGAUUGGUUGGUGUUUUUCCAGUUUAUUCCUGCUAUAGAUAGCAGCUAUGUUUCGCUCUUUUUUAAGAACACUUCAUGUAUUGAUUGUCAUCAGAACAUCAAGAUCAUUUUAACUAGAAUAACAAAAAGUGUAUCUAAAUCAGAUUACCAACCCUACCUUUAACACCCGGCAGAAACCCUGAUUGUGUCAAACUCUGUGUUUUCUGCGAGGUUGUUAAAAGUUUGAGAUUUAAACCUCUCCUCACCAACAAAAGUCGAACUCAUUUUAUCAAGCAGCCACCCAUUCAAAAAAGAAAUCCCCUUACAGGUUAGCAUGUCUAGACUGUUCUCUGUGCAGAUUUAUACGUCUGGAAAAUAUUCAGCCUGUUUUGAAGUUUGCAUCCUUCACAUCUAUUCCAUCCGCUCUCUGUAAAUGAAUGCUGUCUGCUCGGAUUUGCCCUGUGGAUGACUGCGGAGUCUGCAGCAUUUAGCUUUUAGAGUGGGUUGGUAUUUUAUGAGACAGCAUUAAUGAACUGCAGUGUGGGUGCAUGAGGUGCACAGAAAAGCAUGACCCCUGUUCGUUUUUGUGAGCAUCCGUGAGCUCAGUAGAAGUGCUUUUCCGAUGUUUCUAUCAGUUAUGUUAAAGAAAGGAGAGAGGGCAUGUCCUGAAAGUUAAUCAAAGAUGGUUUUAUGAUCUAUUUAAAGACAGAAAAUACGAAAAAUGUAAUAACUUUAUUUAAAUGAAUAUAAACUAAGUUCUUUGUCUGACAAAACAAAGACAGAAACUUAGAGAAAUAAUGACCAACAGUCUACAAAAUUCAAACAAUUCGAGAAUGAAAUGCAACACAAAAGUUCACCAGGAGUAAAUGUGAAUAAACAGGAAACAAGUGAUUAAACAGAUAGAUCUGCAAGAGCAGGGGAGCAAUAAAUCAAAACAAAUGAGGAGAUUAAAAAAGAAUAAAAGCACCAAAGGACAAUCAAAACAUGACUUCAGGAGAAAUGAAAAGAUGUGGAGUAGUGAAGUGAAUCAAAAUAAGUGUUCAAGUAAAAAGAUAAAACUAAUCAAGGACAGUGGAAAUAGGGAAUCAAAAGAGGGCUUGGCAACAAUUGAAUAAAAAUGAUUAAAUAUAAUAAAUGCAGUUAACAAGGUGAAAUCACAAAACAGUCAGUCAGUAAAAGUUUGUUUUAAGAAAAGACUUUUAAGACUUUUUCUCCUCAGGGACGAGAAAACGCUGCCGACAACAGGAUCAGCAGGAGACGGCUUUUAACAGGUUUUCAGUGUCAUGUAUGUUUGUGCUGGUUUGGAGUAACAGUUGAUUGACUUUUCCAAAACCUGGACAAACUUCAAAAGUCCAUCUGUGAGUCGGCGCGCCAGCUGGUACUGGUGGCCAGAUGGACACUUAAUACUUCUUGGAUUGACACUUGACUUGGCUGUGAGCGUUAUAUGGUUAGAUGUUCGCACGCUCUGCUCAUGAAACCCUCUUUGUUUCUCGUCACAAAGUGGCUUUUGGAAGUCUGGACAUCAAGCAGAGAAAAAAAGUCUGUGCAAGAGAUCAGAAAGUGUCAGAACUGUAUAAGCCCCUCUGUUUCCUGAAGUUAACUCUCGAACAAGAGGAUUGAUUUGUCAAAUGUCUUUUUUUUUUUUUGUUACAUAAAACUCAAGAGAAAUCAGAUUUGAAAGAUUAUUUAUAAUAUUUAUUUACAUAUUAAAGGUCCCAUAUUUUGCAAAAUUCACUUUUUUAUGGUUUUCUAACAAUCAUCCCCUGCCUGUCUACAAACCCGCCCCAAAUGAGAAAAUUCUAUCCUCUCCCUCUCUUGCUUCUUCCACUUUUCAGAAAAUGUCUGCUCAAACGGGCGGAUUGAAACCAUCAUGACUCCUCCCCUCCAGGUUGGUGACCCGCCCAAGAUGAUUGUUCUGCCCCCCGAAAAUUUCCACUCAGACACUAUUUUUCUCCCUCACAGACAGACAUAUUUAUGCUAGGGUGACCAGACGUCCUCUUUAACCUGCACACGUCCUCAUUCUGUCCUCAAGUUUGUGUCACGUGGACUUGCUGAGUUCGAAGUGCGUAAAAGACUUGAUCUGACCUGAAAAACUCUCAAAAUUAACUUUGUGCGACUCCGUGACCCCCAUUUAGUCAUGUCCUCUCUUUGGGAAGUCAGAAUAUGGUCACCCUAAUUUAUGCUGAAUUAUGGCAGGGUAAGAUCAUUAUAAUGUAAAAAAAAAACAAAAAAAACGAGGAGCUGCUAUUAUAUUAAGAGAUUUUGGGGAGAGAUUAAGAUUUUUUAGUUCUACUUUGUCAGCAUCGAUCACAGUCUUGACAUUACAAUCUUGUAGCAGUCUAACUGAGUAUAGGCAGGUAGCUGACGCUAGUAACAGUCCUAGUAGUCACGAUAGAUACUUACUUUUUUCACAUUCACCAAAAGAACUCCAAGUGACGAGAAGACAGCAGAGAUGUAACCGUUAGCAGGAGCUAAUGUUACCUAGCUACAUGUUAUUCACUGUGUACCAACACAGAAAAAACGUAAAAAGAAAACUAUGGAGAUAUAAUAUUUGUAACUAACCAUUCAGAAACGUCCUGCUGCAGACACCGAGUUGAAGUUUCUUCAGGUACCUCUCCUUCUGGGUCAAACUGGUAUGGCUAGCACUAGCAUUAGCACUCUGUGUAAACAUUGGGGUAUGGUACCAUAGCGCAAGCCACGCCCCCCUCUACUAGAGAGACAUGGAGGGGCGUGGCUUGCGCUGAAGGAAGGAAGCGAGUUCUCGGUAAAGCUCAGUGUUGCCAACCUAGUGACUUAUUUUUAAAAAAAAAGCACCUAGCGACAAAUCUUUUUCUGGAGUUUAGAGACUCUAACAUGAACGCAGGUAUCGAUGUUACUCUUCUCAACGGGUAGCCAGUGUGCAUCAAAAACACAGACACAGACACAUACAGAUACCUCGCAGAAGACUCCUCCUCCUUCUCUUCCUUCUCCUCCCGGAUUGGGGUGGGGUAAGGGGGGGUCAUCGUCGUCGGUGGGGUGUUUGACUGAGAAAUUAUGCAAAUUACACAAUGACUUUAUCUCACGACUUUUACGACAGCCACUAGCGACUGUCCUUACAAAGGAGUUGGCAGGCUGGUUGAAGUUGAGAAAAAAAAUGGGUUUUUAUACAACAAACCUUAAAUUGACCGUUCUGGGACCUCUGAGACCUAAAUGAACCUGCUGAAAAAGGGUAUAGUAUGGUUCCUUUAAGGGUGCAGGACAUGUACUGCAUCUUCUUUUUUUCAUGAAUUUUGAUUAUAGUCUAGUUCUGGUCACAAACACGCCUCCCCAGCUCCCCAUGUGCAGAUGUGAGUGAUGCUUAUCUCUGUUAUUAAGAUCUCCCUGUUGCAGCAGUGCUAAUUAAUCAAGCAGCAUGUGUGUCAGUGAGCUGAAGUUAAAAGCUAUUAGUGAUCAUUAUUGUGUUUAUCCGCCAUUUAUCUGAGUCAUUUCCUCACAGCUCCAGCAGGAUAUCUUUUAGUGUUUUCCUAUCGAAGAGCAAACAUCAUGCCGCUCAUCCCGGUGAAGUCAUCCGCACAAAGGCCGCCGUACGUUUCAUCUCCUUCACAUCCGUCUUAACCAGCACACCCACGCACGCAUGAAAAACCUGCACGCAAUGUUUUGUGGGAGAGAGAGCCUCUUGCUUACUCAGGAAACACAGUAAGAGAGGACUAAUUAGGCUGCUGUCCCAAGUCUUAUGGGACAGUUAAUGGGAUCUGCUGGCGCUGUAGUGUUCCUUUGAUCAAGGCCUGUCAAACACUCUCAGAGCCGCCGUGUUGGUAGGAAGUCUCCGGGGAACGCCAACCUUCACACACACACACACACACACACACACACGCACAGACACGGAGAGCAAACCAAGAAAUUAAGAUUCAUUUUCUACUCAUUGACACAUCUCUGUUUCUGUGAAACAGGACAAAUGUAGCUUAACUGCACUUCAUAGCCGUGUUUAUGAGGCAACAGAAUGACUUGCUCCAUCUCUUUUAUAGGACCUAAUCAUUCUUUUGUAAUGCUUACACUCUCCCUGUGGCUGCAUAUUUAAGAGCUGUGUUAUAAUGUGGAUGCUGGGUGAGAAAACCCACUUGUUAAAGUGAAUUUGUUCAAAAAAAAAAAAAAAAACAUAUGGGAGCAACUAGCUGUACUCACAGUGAACAAUUCAGUUACUUUAAUUUGACAGAGAAAAAUACUUCAGACAUGAGGCAACGGUUGAAUCCCACAAGAGUCUCAAACCAUUAUAUUCAGUAUAGAUGUAUAGGCCCAGAGGCCAACUACAAAAAAUAUUACAAACAUUAUUUUCAUGGAUAACUAGAAAAGCACUCUGAGAGCGCAGACCUCUGCCAAGCAGCUCAUGUCCCCCUUAUAUUGUGAUUCACACCAAUGAUUCCGGUUUAGUCUAAUAAUCCUCAGAGCACUUAAAGUUAUACAAAAGUUAACGCAUUACAUAUUAGGGGUUGGAAUGUGACCCCAUGAUACGAUAAUAUCGCAAUACUUGGGCCACGAUAUGAUAAUAUCG